AUUUACAGAGCUCGAUGAGCGUAGCAUUGAAGAUGCUAAGGUUUAUAAUGAAUUAUAAUGUAAAUA
rnacentral:tRNA from 1 species